AUUAAUUAGACCAUAUGAAGAAGGCUGAGGGAGGUUUCACACGAUGACAAAUGUCAUCAGAAAGGAAAAAAACUAAAGUGUCUCCGAACGGAGAUUAUCCUUGAAAAAGCAACAAUAAACUGGAACUGAUCUUAUCACAAAUUGUAUCCCUCACAAAGAUCUCUCGCAUGGGCCCCCGUCUUCAGCCGAGCUGGCAGACAGACCCGCGUGUCGCACGCGAUUUACAGCAGGUAUUUAGCUAAAUCCGUUCCAGUAAGAUGCAAGAACGGAAGCCUGGCUGGGACACACACACCGGUCGCGUCUGCAAUCCCCCCCACGAGCUGAGACGUGUUGAGAUCAAGACUGCAGAGCCGUCUUUUAUUAGGAUACAGGUAUGUUUCCCUGCCGAUGAGUGUAGACCGGAGCACAAAGUGAAUGCAGGGAAAAAAUAAGCCCAAACAGCAGUUUGCUGGCACCUCUAUGUGCCAGGAGAAGCUGUGCAGAGCCGACACCAGCCAAAGGAUUAAUGAUCCCGGGGGAGGCUAAGGAACACAUCUCCAUCAAAAGGCUCCUCAAGACCUAUAUCCCGCCUCAUCUCCUUCAGUCAGCAAACCAACAUUUCUCAGAGCUCCCGGCAGCACAUGAGAAGUGUCACUACAGACAGUUCUCUUGUGUGGUCCCAGAAUGGUAGUAUGAACUGCUGAACCACAUCCGGUCAACUGACUCCCUCUCCACCUUCAAGAAGCACCUGAAGACCCUUCUGUUCCAUGAAUUCCUCUAAAUCCCGAUGCCUCCAACAUUCCCUGAAUGUUCAUAUGUUGCAUUUCUGGUUCUUGAAUAGUCUUAUGAGGUUCCUGGUUUGACAGAAGUACAUCCUGCUCUUAUCCUGCUUACACUCAUACCUGAGCUUUCGUUGGAUGCACUAUUACCUAGUUGACUGCAUGACUGCACAUUUGCGUGACUUGUAUGUAACUUUGGAUAAAAUAUGUAAACGUAACGUGUUACUGUCAAUUGUAAAGUCACAAUGCAUUACUAUAUGUUUGAUUGCGUUUACUGGACACGUUAAUUUUGAGACCCCGAUGAGAAAAUAAUAUGAGUGACUUUUUUUAGUAGAGACCUAGAGUAUUCCUUCCAGGUUGUAAACAAUGUGAGAACUUUGGUUGUGAUGUUGCAUAGCAUCCCAGAAUUCACAGCUAAAAACAAUUUUUGAAUUAACAUUCCAUUAGUGUCUCACGGGGAAGCUGAAGGAGGGGAGAGGCAUGGAAACAUCGUUACUUGGUUCAUUUCAUUUUUAAAAAUGACCAGACUGCUCAGAGGUUAAAAAUAUCAUAAUUUGCAACAGUUGUUUUAUUUUAUUGAAGGCUAAAACUUAAAAUGAGGACCUUGCCAGUUACUAACGCAUCUUCAGUGGUUGUAAGGCAUCUGCUUUUAGAGCCAUUCGCCAAAAAGAUUUUAGAUUGAGAUGUUUUUGUUCCUAAACAUUCACAUUCUGUUUUGAGAGCAAUGUCAAAAACUGAGGAAAAAAAGAGUCUGUUGGUGGACAAAGUGGAGUGAAUUGCUUUUAUGUCUUAGCAGUUUUAUUUGACCCAUGCGACACUAAUAUGGGAAUAAUCUAUUCCUGUCUUUAUUUUGAGACUUGUGUUUGGAAUACAUAAAUUUCUACGCUGAAUACCCAGACUAUAAAAUCUAUCGUGAUUUAAAACUUAAUCGUCUGACAGCUAUUUCCUUUAAGCUUAGGAUACACUGGGUUAUCAUUGGAUGGCUCUUAGCCUGUAAUGUGAAUGUGUUUUCUGGUGAACUCGGUCCCCUUUAUGUUACGGCAGAGGUUCUGAGUCUGCCAAAUGAUAGCCAUCCUGAGCUGACGCUCUGCAUUAACGUUGGCAGGACAGCCUGGGGAAACAGUAACAUUUCACCACGUUCAGUGUCUGGCACCCCAGCACAGAAUAACCACGGUGUAAAAGGAAGAGCGCGCUCUGGCCUCUUAAUUAACUCCUGUUUGGCAACAGGAUGUGUUCCUGACAACUUUAAUCCAUCAGUUAUUAAGGCCUUAUUUUAAAGGGCCAACACGGCCCAAACGCCAUUAAUUACAGACCCCUUUCAUCUGCAAUUUUCCUCAAAGAUUCUUGGGGAAAAAAAUGUGGCUCAACAACUGAUUUUUUUCAGCCCAAUUAACAUUCAUAAAAUAUCCCAAUCUGUCUUUCUUCCUGCUCACAGCGCUGAAGAGGACCUUGUUAAUGUAAUGAAUGGUAUUUCGCUGUUUAUCCUUUGAGCUCUUGUCCAGUUUCUAUUUUGCCAUUCAGGGCAUCGGCGAUAUUCUGCUUUCAAAAGCAAAUCAAAGAGCACGGUUUCUGCGGAGCCCCAUUGUGCUUCACCAUGGAUGCGGUUCCUUUUAGACCUUUAAUAAUGACUAAUGCCUGAAUAAUAACUAUUGCUGUUAAUGAAGGUGCAAAUUUGUUAAAGGUGAUGAUGUCAAACACAUACGACAAACAAUACAUUUCUGCGAAACGAUAAACCACAAUUAUGCUGUAAUGACAUAAAGCAGCCAAUAAAAACAUAUUUCUCUCUUUAUAUUGUUAUAGACUAGAUAUAAAUAUUUAAACCUUAAUUUAAUAGUAUACUAGGAUUUACUAGGAUUAAUUGUUAAAAAAAGGCUUCCUAGCUUCCGUUUCAUUCUCGGCAGUUUUGAUUACUCGUUUGUUACUUGAUUUUUCUUAUUUGUAUUGUUAUUUCAUUUCGUCAGUGACGUGCUUGGAAGAUACCAUGGCGCUUGAUACAGCGGGGUGUCUGCUAUAGGUAGCAACAUUGAUAUCCCCCCCACUCAGUUACCAGUGGACCAAACCAGCCCAGGUAUCCAUAAGGGAGGGUUGAAGGUUAGUCAGGCAAAUAUUUAAUGUAAAUAACACUGUGUGAGAAAUAUCAAACUCUGAUGUCUUUAUGUCGUUAUAAAUUUGAUUCAUUUAGGAUGAAUAGCAUUUAGUUAAAAAGAUUUAUUUUUAUUUUUUUUGAAAUGAUGACAUUUGGGAUGUAAUUUGUACCUGAAUAACCUGAUACUGUAAUACUAUAAUGGAUUUUUAAAUGGUUAUUUUGUUUAUGUUUAUUUGAAAUGGUUCAGCAGGGAUUGUUUGUUCCUCAGUACUGGCAUUUUAGCUUUUCAGAAAUGGAAAAUACGGACACUCUGUGUACUUUUAUGCUUGCAAUACAGAUACAAAAUAGGU